rnacentral:rRNA from 1 species
AGGGGGUAUUGCACCUACCGAAGACUAUCAAACUCCGAAUGCCGUCAUCUUAUACUUGGGAGUCAGACUGUGGGUGAUAAGAUUCAUAGUCGAAAGGGCAACAGCCCAGAUCGUCAGCUAAGGUCCCUAAAUGUAAGUUAAGUGGUAAAGGAUGUGGGAUUGCACAGACAACCAGGAUGUUGGCUUAGAAGCAGCCACUCAUUCAAAGAGUGCGUAAUAGCUCACUGGUCGAGUGAUCCUGCGCCGAAGAUUUCCGGGGCUAAAACUUACUACCGAAGCUACGGCAUCAGUAAUGAUGGGUAGGGGAGCUUCCCAUACGGGUUGAAGCAUGACCGUAAGGACAUGUGGACAGUAUGGGAGUGAGAAUGUUGGCAUGAGUAGCGAGAUGUGGGUGAGAAUCCCACAGGCCGUAAACCCAAGGUUUCCAGGGGAAGGUUCGUCCGCCCUGGGUUAGUCGGGACCUAAGCUGAGGCCGAAAGGCGUAGGUGAUGGACAACAGGUUGAUAUUCCUGUACUACCGAUAACCGUUUGAGAGAAGGGAUGACACAGUAGGAUAAGCUAAGCACACUGUUGGUUAUGUGUGCCCAAGCAUUGAGGCAGUCAAAGUAGGCAAAUCCGCUUUGAUAAUGCUGGGAUGUGAUGGGGAGCGAAAUUUAGUAGCGAAGUAGCUGAUUUCACACUGUCAAGAAAAGUCUCUAUCGAGGUUAAAGGUACCCGUACCGCAAACCGACACAGGUGGGUGAGGAGAGUAUCCUAAGGCCAGCGAGAGAACUGUUGUUAAGGAACUCGGCAAAAUGACCCCGUAACUUAGGGAUAAGGGGUGCCACCAUCAGGUGGCCGCAGAGAAUAGGCCCAAGCGACUGUUUACCAAAAACAUAGGUUUCUGCUAAGUCGCAAGACGAUGUAUAGGAGCUGACGCCUGCCCGGUGCUGGAAGGUUAAGGGGAUCUGUUAGAGCAAUCGAAGCAGUGAACUUAAGCCCCAGUAAACGGCGGCCGUAACUAUAACGGUCCUAAGGUAGCGAAAUUCCUUGUCGGGUAAGUUCCGACCCGCACGAAAGGCGUAACGAUUUGGGCACUGUCUCAACAACAGACUCGGUGAAAUUGUAAUUCCGGUGAAGAUGCCGGAUACCUGCGACAGGACGGAAAGACCCCAUGGAGCUUUACUGUAGCUUGACAUUGGGUCUUGGUACUACAUGUACAGGAUAGGUGGGA